UCUUUAACAGGAGGUUUUGAUUUUACCUGCAUGCUCCAGUGUUACAUGUUCUGUAUGUGAUUUCCCUUCCUACAUGGAGGAGCUUCCUAAGGUAUCAUAUUGUUGGAAAGAAAUUCUACUCCUAUCCCUAUGAAAUUAUGACCAGGAAAUGUCCACCAGAGCUAGUGAGUUCAGAUGCAUCUUCCUGCUUUAAAUUCUUCUUGGGAGUGGCUGGAGCUGGAGGAAGCGCUUUUCUGACAAAUCGCUAUGGGCUCAC